UACGGAGGGUGCAAGCGUUAUCCGGAUUUACUGGGUCUAAAGGGUGCGCAGGCGGAUAUGUAAGUCUGUGGUGAAAUCUCUAGGCUUAACCUGGAAAUUGCCGUUGAUACUAUAUAUCUUGAAUGUUGUGGAGGUAAGCAGAAUAUGUCAUGUAGCGGUGAAAUGCUUAGAUAUGACAUAGAAUACCUAUUGCGAAGGCAGCUUACUACGCAGAUAUUGACGCUCAUGCACGAAAGCGUGGGGAUCAAACAGG
rnacentral:rRNA from 1 species